ACCGGUGUGGCUCAGUGGGUAGAGCGUCGGCCUGCGAACUGAAGGGGCCCAGGUUCAAAUCCGGUCAGGGGCA
rnacentral:tRNA from 1 species